AGAGCGAACGCUGGCGGCAGGCCUAACACAUGCAAGUCGAACGGACCUUUCGGGGUUAGUGGCGGACGGGUGAGUAACACGUGGGAACGUGCCUUUAGGUUCGGAAUAGCUCCUGGAAACGGGUGGUAAUGCCGAAUGUGCCCUUCGGGGGAAAGAUUUAUCGCCUUUAGAGCGGCCCGCGUCUGAUUAGCUAGUUGGUUGAGGUAACGGCUCACCAAGGCGACGAUCAGUAGCUGGUCUGAGAGGAUGGCCAGCCACAUUGGGACUGAGACACGGCCCAAACUCCUACGGGAGGCAGCAGUGGGGAAUCUUGCGCAAUGGGCGAAAGCCUGACGCAGCCAUGCCGCGUGAAUGAUGAAGGUCUUAGGAUUGUAAAAUUCUUUCACCGGGGACGAUAAUGACGGUACCCGGAGAAGAAGCCCCGGCUAACUUCGUGCCAGCAGCCGCGGUAAUACGAAGGGGGCUAGCGUUGCUCGGAAUUACUGGGCGUAAAGGGCGCGUAGGCGGACAUUUAAGUCAGGGGUGAAAUCCCAGAGCUCAACUCUGGAACUGCCUUUGAUACUGGGUGUCUUGAGUGUGAGAGAGGUAUGUGGAACUCCGAGUGUAGAGGUGAAAUUCGUAGAUAUUCGGAAGAACACCAGUGGCGAAGGCGACAUACUGGCUCAUUACUGACGCUGAGGCGCGAAAGCGUGGGGAGCAAACAGGAUUAGAUACCCUGGUAGUCCACGCCG
rnacentral:rRNA from 1 species